UACGAUCGUAUCAAGUUGAAAAACCAGUUCUGAUACGAUCAUCAGAGUUAAGCGACGUUGACCUUAGUUAGUACUUAGAUGGGUGACCGCUUGCGAAUACCAGGUACUGUAA